CAGGCUACCCGACGGCGGCCGCGGAGCAAGGCGGCGCGGCCGGGAAGAAGGCGCGCCGGGGCAGCACCACCUCCAGGGGCGAGAAGGGCUUCAUCGAAGGAUGCCUCGCCGCGCUGUGCUGCUGCUGGAUCUGCGAGAUGUGCUGCGACUAACCGGCCAGCACCCCGUGUUUGCUGGCGGGCACAGAGCGCCAGUGCCACUCAUGAAGAACGUAUACAGAUGAGGAGGGUUGUGUAUCGCUUAAUUUCAGUGUUUGUUGUUUUAGUCUACACAAAUAACUGAGGUGACUGUCUGUACCUGAAUAUUGUAGUACUGUAUAUGUAUCCGUGUUGGAUAUUGUGAUAUUCAUAUAUUUACCACGUCGUGUGUAAUGGGUGAGUACGAAAUAUUAUUUCAAGCUGUAAUCUCGGUCAGUUGCCA